UGAGACGACCAGACAAUCGCGCUAGCAAUAGUGAGGAAAGUCCGGGCUCCAUAGGGCAGGGUGCCAGGUAAUACCUGGGAGGCGUGAGCCUACGGCCAGUGCAACAGAAAGUAUACCGCCUGCAAUGCUGGUCAUUGCCGGUAAGGGUGAAAUGGUGCGGUAAGAGCGCACCGCGCUGCUGGUAACAGCAGUGGCAGGGUAAACCCCACUCGGAGCAAGACCAAAUAGAGGAACGAUUGCCUUGUGCAUGACAUGCGGCCCGCAUGGUUCCUGGGUAGGUUGCAAGAGGCAGAUGGUGACAUCUGUCCCAGAUGAAUGAUUGUCCACGACAGAACCCGGCUUAUCGGUCGUCUCAUUUU
rnacentral:RNase_P_RNA from 2 species